GAUGAAGAACGUAGCGAAAUGCGAUAAGUAAUGCGAAUUGCAGAAUUCCAGUGAGUCAUCGAAUCUUUGAACGCACAUUGCGCCCUUUGGUAUUCCGAAGGGCAUGCCUGUUCGAGCGUCAUUAUCACCCCUCAAGCCCUCGGCUUGGUGUUGGACGGUUUGGUGGAGGUCCCCUCGGGGGUUCCUGCCCCUCCCAAAGACAAUGACGGCGGCCUCGUUGGACCCCCGGUACACUGAGUUCUUCACGGGACACGUAUCGGACACAUGGGUUUACGGGACACGGUCUGCCUCCCCUCAGGGAGAAUCUUUCUAAGGUUGACCUCGGAUCAGGUAGGGAUACCCGCUGAACUUAAGCAUAUCAAUAAGCGGAGGA
rnacentral:misc_RNA from 1 species